CAGUCGCCGCGGUAAUACGAAGGGUGCAAGCGUUAAUCGGAAUUACUGGGCGUAAAGCGUGCGUAGGCGGUUUGUUAAGUCUGUUGUGAAAUCCCCGGGCUCAACCUGGGAACGGCAAUGGAUACUGGCAAGCUAGAGUGUGUCAGAGGACGGUGGAAUUCCCGGUGUAGCGGUGAAAUGCGUAGAGAUCGGGAGGAACAUCAGUGGCGAAGGCGGCCAUCUGGGACAACACUGACGCUGAGGCACGAAAGCGUGGGGAGCAAACAGGAUUAGAUACCCCCGUAGUCCCUGUCUCUUAUAC
rnacentral:rRNA from 1 species